UUGAUCCUGCCGGACCCGACUGCUAUCGGGGUAAGACUAAGUCAUGCAUGGCUCCCUCUUUAACCAUGACGAGAGAGGCCGGAGAGCUCCGUAACACGUAGGUAACCCACCUCAUGGACCAGAACAACUACGGGAAACUGUAGCCAAUGCUGGGUACGCGAGGAGACCUGGAAUGGUCCUCGCUGAGAGGCUUAGAAUCAUGUUUCUAUUACUGCCAUGGGACGGGCCUGCGACCGAUUAGGUAGUAGGUGGGGUAAUGGCCCACCUAGCCGAGGAUCGGUACGGGUUGUGAGAGCAAUAGCCCGGAGAUGGUCACUGAGACAACGGACCAGGCCCUACGGGGUCCAGCAGGCGCGAAAACUGCGCAAUGCCUUAUGGGCGACGCGGUUACCCCGAGUGGCGCCCUCACGGGUGCCUGUCCUGGAGUGUACACAGCUCCAGAAGAAAGGAGAGGGUAAGACUGGUGCCAGCCGCCGCGGUAAAACCAGCUCUUCGAGUGGUCGGGAUUAUUAUUGGGCCUAAAGCGAGCGUAGCCGGAUUUGUAAGUCCCCAGUUAAAGCCUACGUCCCAAGCGUAGAAGCGCCGGGGAUACUACAAAUCUUGGGACCGGAAGAGGAACGACGUACGGCAGAGGUAGGAGUGAAAUCCAAUAAGCUUUGCCGGACGACCGGUGGCGAAGGCGUCGUUCUGGGACGGGUCCGACGGUGAGGCUCGAAAGCUAGGGUAGCGAGUCGGAUUAGAUACCCGAGUAGUCCUAGCCGUAAACGAUGCUCGUUAAGUGUAGCGCAAGACAAGAGCUUACGCUGUGCCGUAGUGAAGACGUUAAACGAGCCGCCUGGGGAGUACGGUCGCAAGGCUGAAACUUAAAGGAAUUGGCGGGGGCCUACCACAAGGCGUGAAGCCUGCGGUUUAAUUGGACUCAACGCCGGGAAACUCACCUGGGCCGACAGCUAAAUGAUAGCCGGGCUAAGGACUCUGCUUGAUUCGCUGAGAGGAGGUGCAUGGCCGUCGCCAGCUCGUGCCGUGAGGUGUCCUCUUAAGUGAGGCAACGAGCGAGACCCCUGUGCUUAGUUGCCAGCGGUAUCCUUCGGGAUGGCCGGGUACACUAAGCAGACCGCACGCGACAAAGUGUGAGGAAGGCAGGGGCCACGGCAGGUCAGUAUGCCCCGAAUGCCCAGGGCCACACGCGGGCUGCAAUGGUUGCGACAGAGGGUAUCCAACGCUGAAAAGCGAAGGCAAUCCCUAAACGCAGCCUCAGUUAGGACUGGGGGUUGCAACUCACCCCCACGAAUUUGGAAUGCCUAGUAGUCGCGCGUCAUCAGCACGCGGCGAAUACGUCCCUAGGCCUUGCACACACCGCCCGUCGCUGCAUCCGAGACGGGGCUGGUUGAGUCUACCUCAUGGGAGGCUGCCGAAACUAGUUUCGUUGAGGAGGCAGAAGUCGUAACAAGGUAGCCGUAGGGGAACCUGCGGCUGGAUCACCUCCUU
rnacentral:rRNA from 1 species